rnacentral:rRNA from 1 species
AUGCUACUAGGGCGUGGGCGUCUCGAACGUGAGCAGGCCACCGGCAAUGUCGAAGAUCAUGUUGGUGCCCGUUUGCAGCAGGCUGCCGAGGACCGAUCCACCCUUGGACGGCAGUACGGUCAGGCACACUUUCAACCCGUCCUUGAAGAAGUAGUUCUCGGGCUUGACCUCCAUCGUCGCGUUCACGCCAUCGAACACCAGCGUCAGCGCCGGCACCGUCACGUCGGAGAAGGACCACCUCCUGUAGCACAGCUGGUGGAGGUCCUCCGCGUCCACCGGAGUCACACCCUGAGACUCGAUGCUGCUCACCAGCGCGCGCCUCAAGGCGCCGUACGCGGUCUCCUCGAGGUAGGUCGCCGGCCAGGUCGAGCUCAGGAAUACCCCGCCGGAGCCGUCCGCCUGGAGGUCGAACGUCCCCGCCGGGAUGCCGUCGAGGUCAUGGCCGUCGACCUGUAUGCUGCUGAGCCCGACGUAGUACAGGUCAGGUUGCAUGACGCUUCUAAGUAG